rnacentral:rRNA from 1 species
GUGGAUUAGAUACCCUGGCAGUCCACGCCGUAAACGAUGGGUACUAGGUGUAGGAGGUAUCGACCCCUUCUGUGCCGCAGUUAACACAUUAAGUACCCCGCCUGGGGAGUACGGCCGCAAGGUUGAAACUCAAAGGAAUUGACGGGGGCCCGCACAAGCGGUGGAGCAUGUGGUUUAAUUCGACGCAACACGAAGAACCUUACCAGGGCUUGACAUCCUCUGAAUACCAAGAGAUUGGUAGUGCCUUCGGGAGCAGAGAGACAGGUGGUGCACGGCUGUCGACAGCU